AUCAAACCAUGCCGCGUGCAGGAUGAAGGCCUUCGGGUUGUAAACUGCUUUUGUACGGAACGAAAAGACUCUGUCUAAUACCUGAGGUCCAUGACGGUACCGUAAGAAUAAGCACCGGCUAACUACGUGCCAGCAGCCGCGGUAAUACGUAGGGUGCAAGCGUUAAUCGGAAUUACUGGGCGUAAAGCGUGCGCAGGCGGUUAUAUAAGACAGAUGUGAAAUCCCCGGGCUCAACCUGGGAACUGCAUUUGUGACUGUAUAGCUAGAGUACGGUAGAGGGGGAUGGAAUUCCGCGUGUAGCAGUGAAAUGCGUAGAUAUGCGGAGGAACACCGAUGGCGAAGGCAAUCCCCUGGACCUGUACUGACGCUCAUGCACGAAAGCGUGGGGAGCAAACAGGAUUAGAUACCCUGGUAGUCCACGCCCUAAACGAUGUCAACUGGUUGUUGGGUCUUCACUGACUCAGUAACGAAGCUAACGCGUGAAGUUGACCGCCUGGGGAGUACGGCCGCAAGGUUGAAACUCAAA
rnacentral:rRNA from 1 species